rnacentral:rRNA from 1 species
UGGGGAAUAUUGGACAAUGGGCGAAAGCCUGAUCCAGCCAUGCCGCGUGUGUGAAGAAGGUCUUCGGAUUGUAAAGCACUUUAAGUUGGGAGGAAGGGCAUUAACCUAAUACGUUAGUGUUUUGACGUUACCGACAGAAUAGGCACCGGCUAACUCUGUGCCAGCAGCCGCGGUAAUACAGAGGGUGCAAGCGUUAAUCGGAAUUACUGGGCGUAAAGCGCGCGUAGGUGGUUUGUUAAGUUGGAUGUGAAAUCCCCGGGCUCAACCUGGGAACUGCAUUCAAAACUUACUGACUAGAGUAUGGUAGAGGGUGGUGGAAUUUCCUGUGUAGCGGUGAAAUGCGUAGAUAUAGGAAGGAACACCAGUGGCGAAGGCGACCACCUGGACUAAUACUGACACUGAGGUGCGAAAGCGUGGGGAGCAAACA